AAAGUGGUGUUAAGACCGCGUACGCUCGAUCCAGUAGAGAGGAUUGAGGAAAAGACGCAAGUCUGCGGGGUGAGGGGCUUACGGCCCAUCAGGUAGUUGGGGGGGUAAGAGCCCACCAAGCCGAUGACGGGUAGCUGGUCUGAGAGGAUGGACAGCCAGACUGGGACUGAGAGACGGCCCAGACUCCUACGGGAGGCAGCAGUUAGGGAUCUUGCGCAAUGGGCGAAAGCCUGACGCAGCGACGCCGCGUGGGGGAGGAAGGUCUUCGGAUUGUAAACCCCUUUGGUCGGGAAGAGGAAGGACGGUACCGGCCGAAUAAGCCCCGGCUAACUACGUGCCAGCAGCCGCGGUAAUACGUAGGGGGCGAGCGUUGUCCGGAUUUACUGGGCGUAAAGAGCGCGUAGGCGGCUUCAUACGUUGGUGCUGAACGGGUGGGGCUCAACCCCACGACGGGUACCGAAACUGGUGAGGCUUGAGGGCAGUAGAGGACGGUGGAAUUCCGGGUGUAGUGGUGAAAUGCGUAGAGAUCCGGAGGAACACCAGUGGCGAAGGCGGCCGUCUGGGCUGCAACUGACGCUGAGGCGCGAAAGCGUGGGGAGCGAACUGAAUUAGAUACUCAGGUAGUCCACGCCCUAAACGAUGGACACGAGGUGUCGGGGGUAUCGACCCCCUCGGCGCCGGCGCGAACGCAGUAAGUGUCCCGCCUGGGGAGUACGGCCGCAAGGCUAAAACUCAAAGGAAUUGACGG
rnacentral:rRNA from 1 species